rnacentral:snRNA from 1 species
CACCUGGGCAGGUCAUAUACUGAAAUUGGAGUUAGCAUGGCCCCUGUGCAAGGCGAUGACAAGCAAAUCUGUGAAGCAUUUCAUAUUUUU